GAAGGUAUAACUCAGUAGAGUGCAUGCUUAGUAUGCACGAGGUCCUGGGUUCAAUCCCCAGUACCUCUG
rnacentral:tRNA from 1 species